UUGAUUCUGAGCAUACAAAACUGAAUAAAAUUUGGCCCUUGAGGAGCAACCACCAGAACUUACUCUUGUCUUAACAUGGACUGAUUCUAUCUCACUUCAACCUUCACCCCUAAGCUGAUGACUAUUAAACAUCCAUCUACAUCUUGCUCUUAGGAAUUCUAGCCCCUUCUCAGAUUCCUACAGAACCAGCACUGGAAUUCACACAAAGGGGUUCCUGAGUGUACCCGACAGUACCAUUCUGCUCCACCCCACGUUCCUCAGAGCCUCGCAGGUGAGCAGAGUUCUGCAGUAAAGCUGAUUCUCCUACAUAUUCUACCAACCAUCACAAACUCAUUCUUCAAAAGAAGAUGGAGAGUUAUUGUCUAAAAACUGAGUAACGGAAAAUGAAACCCUUCAAGGAGUGAAGGAAGGUAAAGUGGACUAUGUGACUUAUUUCAAUAACAUCCAGGCUCCAUCACAAAAGCAAUGUCUGGAAAAUCCUAGGAGAAAGAGGUGCAUCCCAUUAGGAGUGUGCCUCCUCCGACGAUCACCUGAGUCAUUAUGUAGUGAAUAGCUGUUACCAAUGGGAGUAUGUGACAUAUUGCAAGUGUAUUGAGACAUUUUUAAAAAUUAAGAACUGCUGCAUUAAAAGACAUCUUGUCAGUGAAGUCUUCAAUUGACUCCCUGUCAAUAUUUUUCACUCUGGGAUGGCUUGGGUAAAACUUUGCCCAUGUUAGUCAUCUAAUGUCUAUUACUUUAUGAUGACAACCUAUGUGAACAAAAUGUGUUCACUUUAGAAUCUUCUCAAAUCAGUGUGGUACUGAGAAACUGUUAUGAAAUUGUAAUUGAUAGCACUGUUCAAAAGUAUACAAUAGGACGACUAACCAAACUCGAUCUUGCUCUGUUGAUUUAAUAUUUUCAUUUCCAUCACCAUACAUGAUGAGAAAGCAACACCAGCAAAGAUUAAGAAUCUAAAAAUCCUUCAUGCUGAUCACCCACAAUCUUCCAACUAUUUCUAAGCUUAACCAGAGAACAUUAUUUAUUACUUAUAAAUAAGAGAAUUUAAAAUAUUGUUGUCUCUGACAAUACUAAAAAAGCAUAUUUAAACUUUUUUUCACUAUAAAAUUGAAGCUGCAGUAAGAUGAAAUGGAAGCCCACAGACACUGCUGAUGUGAAUUCCACUAAUAAUAUCAGAUUCUUGCCAAAAAGCAAAAUUUGUUGUGUAGUUUGCAAUUAAUGUAACAAAAAUUUACCAGCCUGUAUAAUUUUAUCUGCCUUCCCUAGAGGAAGUAAACUGAUAAUAAAACUAAUGAAAUCAUAUUUCUUGACCACUUUCAUCCACUAUAAGUUGUUACUUGUCCUUAGAGGAUUAGACUAUUUACAAGGCCAUUGAAGUGUCUGGACUAGCUAAUGGUAAAGGCAGUAUUAUAAGAUAUGGGGGUAUUCCUGAGUCAGCAAAGAUGAUCCUGCAUUGUGAUGGAAGCCCCAUAAGUCAUUACCAAGGGCAGAUCAGGGGUUGAUGAGCCUCUGUUAGAAUUGUUUUGCAUCAGCAUUUCUGUACUCCCUGAAAACACCAUAAAAUACUGAACUUUAAUUAGUAAUUCAACAAAUGAGAAAAUGCUUGAUUUCAGUACUGUCAACCUAAAUAACAGAAAUGCUCCAAAGAUAAUGAAUUUAUUCAGGAAUGGGCACUACAAUGGGAAUACUCAUGUCAUUGAUUACUUGUGUAUUCAAGGAGGUUGAGGCAAAGGUACAUUUUUAAAGGCAAAAUGAGGAUUAUAUAAGUUGUUUUUGCAAUAAUAAUCCUUGAGUACAAGGAUCAAUAAUAUGAGUAGCCAUUAGUCCAAGGCUGAACGGGUAUUAGUCAGAGGUCCUUGCAGAAGUGUUUUCUGUGUAAGGCUAUAGUGUUUGUGCAAAGCUGUGGUUUUGGCAGAGUUUUUAGUGAUAGUUUUUGUUGUCAGGAUUCAUGCAUGAGAUCCCCUUCUUCAUCACCUCCCAGCUUUACUAAUCGUUGUUGUUGUUAUUUUUAUCUAAGGUUUGACCCACAAGACUCUGACAACUUUCAUAGUAUUCAGAGUAGAAAACUCUGGAAAAUGGGGGAUAUGAUGUUAGGCAGUGAGUUGCUAAAACUUCUGGACAGGUGAUGCCAGCUUGCUUCAAGCUUGUCUCCUGGCCUUCCUGCACAAGAACCACCUGGGGGACUUGUGGUGCCCUAUAGAUUUCCUCUACAAAACCUACAUUUACUUAGUAAAGCAGAAUCCUGUUGUUCACAUCAGGAAUCUGUAUUUGUCACAAGCUUCCCUGGGGUUUCAGACUCAUGGAAGCUUGAGGAUAUGACAUUUGACCAUCUUGUUGGCAAGGUCUACAUAUGAAUAAUAUAUUUGGCAGCAUAUUUGAAAUGUUGUAAAAAAAUAUCAAAUGUAUGAUAUCUCUAAACAUAGCACUUCUGUUGCUUUCAAAGUUAACAGAUGAAUACAACCAAUUGGAAUUAGCUCACCCAGUUCCAUAGUUUAAUACUUCUUACCUGUACUGCAUAAUACUUUGCAGCUCAAAAUGGCAACAAGAGGGCAGAACAUAACAGAACACCUGACAUCCCACUAUAGGCUGUGGAGUUAAAAAAAAAAACCCUAUAUUCUCCAAAUCAAAAUGACAUGGGAACUUAUGUAGGCCAUGACUUGCUGCCCGCUUCCGGUCUUGGGGCCAAACACGUGCCCGGGAUGGCUCCUGGCAAUCAGCCAGGAGGGGUGCUGUGGCUGGUGACGGAAAAGGCGGACCACCUCCAGGAUAGGUCCAGGACUCUUCUGCCCUCCUGGACAGCUUCUGCCUUCCCUUAGGGACUAUGGGAUGGGUGUACACAACUCACUCCACCCCUCUGACCUUUAUCCUGAUUGGCUCCUGUGCAGUAUAUAAGAGUGUGUACUUCCUCAAUAAACGAGAUCCGGCUUCCACUAGUCUCCCUGGCACAUCUGAUUGUCCUCCAUCUAGGGAGGGCUGGGUGCGGACCACCAGGGUUGGGUGCUGGCCACCAGUCGACCUUUCGGGGCGUGCGUGCUUUCCCUUGCUUCUCCCGCUGGUCAGGAGGAGAUGGGGGCUAAAACCCCCCACAAACUUGCACCUUGAAAACAGAAUGGACUUGUGGGAAAAGGACUUUACAGUUUAUUCCCUUCUCAUUCUGGAAUGUUUACCCUGCCCCCAGGGGGUCCCAAAGAUCCAACUUCCUGUUUCUCAGGUCCUCCUAAAGAUCUUUCCUGCUCAUUCUUUCGCAGUUGACAAGCUACUACUAGGCUCUUGGAAGAAGCUUUGCUACAUGAAUUUCAUCAAAUGAAGCCAUUUAUAAAGGUUCCAUUUUUAAAAAACUACAAGGCCAGUAUGCUUAAUUCAGUCAUUUAAGUUGAAUUGAAAACUUUGUUUUAAACACACUUAAAACUUAAUGAGAUAUCAACUUGCUUGACUGAGUUCAUGUUUCCCUUUUAAAAAUCAUACAUUACAGAAUCAGUGCACAUUUGGAGUAAUGUCUCCAUUUAAGUGCCUUUUUGAUAUAAACCUACUAAAAAUGCCAAGACACCAAUCAUUAUAACUGUUUUUGGACAUCAUAAGCCAGCACCAUGCCACUGGCUUAUGGUAGUUGGGGUGUUACAGCUUAAUGUUGACAUCUGGCACAAAAAGCUUACAGUCUGAAUCAUGUUUCUUUUUUAUGUAAUUCUGGCUCAGGAAUCCGAUACAGAGCAGCAGAGAAAUAAAUUAUGUUGCUGAGGCUGAAGAUGAGGCACAGCAUUACGGCUACAGCUAUCUGAGAAAAAGAGAAGGGCCUGAAGGCGGUCAUGAGCCACUCCUUCCUUAGAGUCUUGUCCAGAAGUAUGGCUUCCAUCUGCAGGUGUGUGGCCAGAAUCACGCACACGUGAAACAGCUGGUGGCUGUGACCUACAGCAAACACACAAAAGGCCAUUGAGAUCACUGAUCAAAAGGAAGGAGUAUUGACACAAACUAUGACAUGUUUGCUAAAAAGAUGCUAAGUGAAAGAAGCCAGCAAGGGCACAUUAUAGGAUCCCAUUUGCAUGAAAUAUUCAGAGUAGGCAAAUUCACAGAGACAGGGGAGAUUCAUGGUUGCCUUGAGCAAAGGGUGGGAAUUGGUAUUCACAGUGCAUGUUCUAAAAUGGAUUUAUGGUGAUGUUCAGGCAACUUGGAAAAUUUACACAAUAUAACAUUGAAUUGUACAGUUGACUUUGGGAGACUCUUUAAUAUAUAAAGUACACCUUAAUAAAAGUAUUUUAAAGAACAA